AGCGAGAGUAGAGGGAGGGAGCUGAAGGAGAUGCUGUGAUAGGCCAGGGUAUCAGGGCAUGCAGGUGGCAUGGGCCAAGGGCAAGGCUUGGCUUUCCUUGGAGAGGAAAGGAAGUCACUGUUAGAUGAGCAGAGCCGUGAGUCAGCCUGAUGUGUUUGCAAGAUGGCUGUGGUCGAUGUUGCCUUGAGAAUAGGCUUCCACAGAGGAAGGGCAAACAUCGGGGCCUGGAUGAGUCAGUUUAAGAGUCUGAGUAGCCUGGUCUUCUGUACAAUUGAUGGGUUCAUGCUCCCCCUCAUGAAGACAAAGCAAACGGGUAGCCUGUAAUUGCUUCCGGCCAUGAAGAUAUAUACCUUUAACUGUUGUGUAGACUCAGAGAAAAAUUAUAAUUUGAACUUCAUUUAUCCCUUGGUUUUUCUUGUUAGGGACACUUCCCUGGAUGAUGGAGAUAUCAUCAUUAUAAUUCUUACUAAAGCCUGAUAUAAACAAGUGAACAGUUAGUAAGUGUUCAUUCUAUACAAGAAGCUAAGUCUCCUUCAUUCUUGGCCUCCAUGCCCCCUGUGGAGGGGGGCGGCACAUCACAAUCUUUCUCCCACCAUCCAGCAGAGGACACAGAGGGCUCCGAGUGUUUCAGUGAAGUCUACAAAGUAGCCUCACUCCGAGCUUCAGCAGGUGACUUGGCCGAGAGAGACCUCAGUGAAAGAUGUAGAGGAAUAUUGGAGUCCAAGACGGGGAGCUGUUGGGAGGACGUUAGAACCAAUUCUCAACCCUAGAGGAGAAUAACCUUUGGGUCGUGACCCACAGGUUGAGAACCACUGCAUUGCAGCACCAGUGAGGGAGUGACAAAACUCAGAAUCCCCCCGCCCCUCCUAUGGACCUUCACUUCCUUAUCAUUAUUGUCCCUUGUGAUUCAAGUCAUGGAAAAAGUCAACAAGAGAGUUCUCUGGUCAAGGACAGCUCUUUCUUAUAUUCCAUCCUCCAGUUGAUGUCUAGCUACAAUGUUGAAGUUUGGGGCUACUACUGAGACAGCUGCUCUGAAUGUUUGUACACAAGUCUUCUGUCUUCAGAUCUCUUCAUUUUUCUGGAUAUAAUGCUCAGCUUCAUGAGGACACAAAUCAAAAUAACGGAUGGCUGGGCCGCUUUAAUCUCCACUUCUCACCCCUUCCCCUUUGAACUUGGUCACUGUCAUGUUCCUAAUCUCUGGAGAUUCUGCAUCUAUCCCUUUCAAGAGCCAUCGGCCCCAUCUCUUUGGUUUGGUCUCCUGGAUGUGGCAUAAAUAUUUCUGUCCCUUUG
ensembl:lincRNA 4930413E15Rik RIKEN cDNA 4930413E15 gene